rnacentral:rRNA from 1 species
AUCCAGUUUGCUACUACCAAAUUCCCCACCAUCCUUAUCAUGUCGCUCGCUCCACCAAAUUCCCCACCAUCGUCUUCCUUGCCCGAGCUCCUCCCAGGCUCCCACCACCAUCUCUUCUCGGGCCACCAUCCCCACCUUCCCAUCCCGUUCAGGGGCAUCUUCGUUGGAAGCGGUGGCAGGGUGCAGUGAGGUCGCAGGGUGAGGCGUGCUGCUACGAGGCCGAGGCCAUGGGGGCGCUGCUAUGAGCUGCCCCUGGCCAUGAGAGAAGCUCCGAGCGGCAAGGCGUCUUGCGACCACCGGCUCGCACGAUGCUACAAACAGUUUGCGUGAUGCGGCAACCGGCGUAGCACCCUGCUACUACUGCUGUCACCGCUGCUAGAGCUCUCCGAGGCCAGCCACGGCAACCAUCGAUGCUGAAAGUUGCAACCACCUCUGCACGGAGCUGGAACCGCGGCGCCGAAUCAGGAAAGCUGCAACCACCCAGUUUUGCAUUUUUUUGCUACAACCGUUUAUUUUUUUUGCUGGAACCAGCACCACUUUUUGUUACCACCGACGCUUUGGGUUUCCUAGAACCAGCGCUCGAUUUUGUAUUUUUGCUACCGUAGGCAUUUUGGUUUGCUGGAACGAGCUUCAUUAUUUGCUACCACCGGCAUUUUCGUUUUGCUUUAACAUUGUUCAAUUUUGUAUAUUUUGCUACCAUCGUUUCUGGGUUUGCUGGAACCAGUGCCAUUUUUUGC